AUCCCCACAGCCCUCUAUAAAAUGCCCCGAUCGAUGAGGGCGCGCAGAGCGGGGCAGGGCACUGUGCCGGGCAGGGCUGUGCUGCAGGAGGAGACACAGAGCUGGACACCAUGUGCUGCCUCACCCAUGUGCUGGCGCUGGCGCUGGUGCUGGGCGCUUCAUGGCAGGCGCUGCAUGGAGCUCCACUGGCCGAGCUCUCGGGGGACCACGACUUCCAGCUCUUCCUGCACAAGAACCUGGAGUUCACCCGCAAGAUCAGGGGGGACGUGGCUGCACUGCAGCGCGUGGUGUGUGACACCUUCCAGCUGUGCACAGAGGAAGAGCUGCAGCUGGUACAGCCGGACCCACCCCUGAUGCAGGCACCGCUGGAUCAGUGCCUCAAGCGCAGCUUCCAGGCGGUGAGUGCCAGCGAGCACCCGUGGCACGAGCUGCCC
rnacentral:lncRNA from 1 species